rnacentral:rRNA from 1 species
CAAAACGACUCUCGGCAACGGAUAUCUCGGCUCUCGCAUCGAUGAAGAACGUAGCGAAAUGCGAUACUGGGUGUGAAUUGCAGAAUCCCGUGAACCAUCGAGUCUUUGAACGCAAGUUGCGCCCGAAGCCUUUAGGCCGAGGGCACGUCUGCCUGGGCGUCACGCA